rnacentral:rRNA from 1 species
AGUGAACGCUGGCGGUAGGCCUAACACAUGCAAGUCGAACGGCAGCACAGUAAGAGCUUGCUCUUACGGGUGGCGAGUGGCGGACGGGUGCGGAAUACAUCGGAAUCUACUUUUUCGUGGGGGAUAACGUAGGGAAACUUACGCUAAUACCGCAUACGACCUACGGGUGAAAGCAGGGGAUCUUCGGACCUUGCGCGAUUGAAUGAGCCGAGGUCGGAUUAGCUAGUUGGCGGGGUAAAGGCCCACCAAGGCGACGAUCCGUAGCUGGUCUGAGAGGAUGAUCAGCCACACUGGAACUGAGACACGGUCCAGACUCCUACGGGAGGCAGCAGUGGGGAAUAUUGGACAAUGGGCGCAAGCCUGAUCCAGCCAUACCGCGUGGGUGAAGAAGGCCUUCGGAUUGUAAAGCCCUUUUGUUGGGAAAGAAAAGCAGCAGGUUAAUACCCCGCUGUUCUGACGGUACCCAAAGAAUAAGCACCGGCUAACUUCGUG